AUGUACAGCCUGAGAAGGAGAAGCGCUAUCCGCUGCCACCGUCGGUGCUCCGCGGUUGCAUCAACCCUUCAGUUUGCCAGGAUUGGUUUCUGCGAUUUCCCAAAAGAGGUUGCACCUUCGCUGAAUUUCCCUUUCCUCAGGCAGCUCAACCUAUGGCGGGUCUCCAUUUCUGAGGAUGUCUUCUCUGUGGUGCUCUCUGGCUGCCGUGUCUUGGGUAACUUAUAUCUGUCAGAGAUUCGUGAUGUUGAUUGCCUCAGCAUUAGCUCGCCAAGUCUCAGGAUCAUCGUCAUCAGCUAUUUGUUUGAGGGCAAAGGAGAAUUGCUCAUUAAGGAGGCCCCUUGCCUUGUAAGGUUGCUAUUAAGUUGUCCAGGCGGUGAGAUUAUUCGGGUUCUUAGGGCGCCUAAAUUGGAGAUGUUGGGCCUUUUGUCUCCCUGCAUUUCAGAAAUUGAUAUUGCUAAUAUAGUCUUCAAGGGAUCGAUCCCAUCCAGGUCUGAAAACCCAAUAUGCACUGUAAAGGUUUUGGCUCUCCAUUUCUCGAGGCCUAAUUUGGAUGCAGUUCUUGACGUCCUUAGAUGCUUCCCCUGCUUGGAAAAGCUCUAUGUCAUUUGGGACGAUUAUGUGAAGGCAGAGAUGAAAAAUGUGCGUCAGUAUGAGCCACUAGAUCCGAUCAAAUGCCUUGAGAGCCAUCUCAAAGUACUGGUGCUGAUAAAUUACAAAGGUGGUGAGGAAGAUGUUGGAUUUGCAAAGUUCUUCGUUUUGAAUGCGGAAGUGGUAAAGGAAAUCAACUUUGGAGUGUGUAAGAAUAUUGAUAUUGACAUGAAAUGGAUGACCGACCAACUCAUGCUGCUAGAAGCGGAAAAUAGAGCUUCUCAAGACGCCCGAUUGAAAUUUGGAAGCAGUUCUGCUAGUUGGUUUGGCAGUUUGGAUACCCGGGACCUGUCAAUUGCCGACCCUUUCAGCUAUUGUUUUGUAGAUAGGGCAGACGCCCUUUCAGAAGCAUAUCUGUGA
rnacentral:rRNA from 1 species